rnacentral:rRNA from 1 species
GGAAUKAAYAGUCUGUACCGGGGAAUUAGCAUGGSAAAUGGAAGAGGARKGGGGGGGGGGUUUUCAGUWGGUUUUCGAGGACAGGGUAAUGARAAGAGGGGUGGGGGGGGGCAUUAAUAUUUAAUUGUCAGAGGUGAAAUUCUUGGAUUUAUGAAAGAUUAACUUCUGCKAAUUCMUCUGCCAAGGAUGUUUUCAUUAAUCAAGAACGAAAGUUAGGGGAUCGAAGACGAUCAGAUACCGUCGUAGUCUUAACCAUAAACGAUGCCGAYCAGCGAUUAGGAGACGUUGAAUACAAAACACCACCAUCAGGCGGGUCGUUCCUGGCCAGYCGUUUAAGCGGUUGGUGGGAGCGAUUCGUUUUCCUGAUGGCCCGGUGAAUGACUCCCCUAGCAGCUUGUGAGAA